rnacentral:tRNA from 1 species
CCCCGCAUAGCUCAGCGGUAGAGCGCUCGGCUGUAGCCCGAGAGAUCCCCGGUUCGAACCCGGGUGCGGGGA